GCAAAUGAGGAUUCGGACUCGCGUAUGAUUCCAGCUGACAAUAACUCUUGGAGGUGAGCUCUCACAGCAUCGACGUCCUGAGGGUGAAUAGGUCUAGCCCUAUGCUUGAACGGUGUCUCAUUGCUUAGUUUUAUUUGAUGUUUCACUUUUGCCGUGUGACCAUAAUCAAGGUCAUGCUGCGAGAAGACUUCAGGCCUAGAACUCAGAAACUUUGAGAUCCUCUCCUUCCAUUCUGCAGAUAAAGGGGAGUCUCCAAAAUCAAAGGUGAGGUUGCCAGUGUUACGUUCUCUCUCCACUGGUUCCUUGCUUAAACCUUGAUGCUGGCCCAUGAUCCUCUGGACUGCAUGGAUUUCCGCUAACACAGUUUUAGGAGUAAGUCGUAUGUCAGUUUGUGUCUCAUUCCUCAGCAGGACUGAUAACUUAGUUGGAUGCUUAUGGGGUAGAGAGUGCAGACAGCUUGCAAUCAAGAUUCCAUUCGGCAAAGGGAUCGAUGGUGGUUCAAGGGCCACCCAUCCUUUCAUGUAGGGCCCAUUCAGAUGAACUGCACCAUCCAAAACUACUGUACUUUUUGCAGGUAUAACUUCCACAGAGGUCCCUUUCACUUUUACACACCCAAGGUUCUCGCUGGUAGCUCGAAUCCACCUGGCCUCCAACACUCUAAGUACUGCCUGAUAUCCACAAAGACUGGACUGAAGCUUCACUGAACUCUCUUUGGCACUCUUGCUAUACAACACAUCAAGGGAUUAGUUCCAACUAGGAUCUGUGGGGAACUCGUCAAGUCUGGCACCACCAACGCCAAAGUAGGAAUUUCAACUUCCACCCCAAUGAACGUUGCAGGAAACUUUA
ensembl:lncRNA